AAACCAGCACCUCAAGUGGUCAGGAUGAUUAUUGGGCCUAAAGCAUCCGUAGCCUGCUCUGUAAGUUUUCGGUUAAAUCUGUACGCUUAACGUACAGGCUGCCGGGAAUACUGCAGAGCUAGGGAGUGGGAGAGAUAGACGGUACUCGGGAGGAAGUGGUAAAAUGCUUUGAUCUCUCGAUGACCACCUGUGGCGAAGGCGGUCUAUCAGAACACGUCCGACGGUGAGGGAUGAAAGCUGGGGGAGCAAACCGGAUUAGAAACCCGAGUAGUCC
rnacentral:rRNA from 1 species